rnacentral:rRNA from 1 species
AUGGAGCUUUAGACACACAGGUGGCCCAUGUCAAACACCCCCUGCCAAGGACCUGAACUAAAUGGAACCUGCCUUGAUGUCUUCGGUUGGGGCGACCAUGGGGAAUACAAAACCCCCACGUGGAAAGGGAGCACACCCCUAAGUUACUUCUUCUCCCGCAAGCCAGAGCAACAGCUCUAACCAGCAGAAAUUCUGACCAAACUGAUCCGGUAAAACCGAUCAACGAACCA